rnacentral:rRNA from 1 species
CAUUGUUUAAAGUUUAAAUUUUAAAUAAUUUCUGCUCAAUGAAAAUUUAAAUAGCCGCAAUAUAUUAAUUGUGCUAAGGUAGCAUAAUAAUUAGUUUUUUAAUUAAAAAAUAGUAUGAAAGAAAAAAUAAAAAAUUAACUUUUAAUAAAUUAAAAAAUAUAAAUUAAUAUUUAAGUAAAAAAACUUAAAUAAAAUAAAAAGACGAAAAGACCCUUUAGAAUUUUAUUAUAAUAAUUAAUUCAAUAAUUAAAAAUAAUUUAAUUGGGGAGAUUAUAUAAUUAAACUAACUUAUAUUUAAAAUAAACAUUAAUUAAUGAUAAAAAAUAAUAAUCCAUAAAAUGAAAUAAAAAUAAAUUACCUAAGGGAUAACAGCAUAAAAAUUUUUAAAAGAUCAUAUUAACAAAAUUUAUUAUGACCUCGAUGUUGAAUUAAGAAUAAAUUAUAAAGUAGAUUUUAUAAUUUUAAGUCUGUUCGACUUUUAAUUUCUU